UUGCUUUGGCAGCACAUAUACUAAAAGAUUGGAAUGAUACAGAGGAGAUUAGCAUGGAUGGAGUUCAAGAAUGCAGCAAAAAUUCAUGAAGUGUUCCAUAUUAAA
ensembl:snRNA U6 U6 spliceosomal RNA